UGCAGAAAGAAAUAAACAUAACCAACCAGAUAAAAUAGCAAAGGAAAAAACAGAGUGAAACAGCCAAACAAAAAACACAUGGCAAAACAAACUGAAUGAUUUGCUAAAAAUUCAAAUUUGUUUUCAUUUCCAGGUUUUUUUUGUUUUGUUUGGCAACAUGUUCAUAUUUGGAUAACUUUAACAGGAUAAGUUUUAUGGAAAUCCAAAUCUUUUGGGCUAUUUAUAAGUGUAAUUUUGGUAAGGGGAUCCUCCUAAUAUCGUUUCUACACAGAAGUAGAUUGUUUCCUUAGAUCUGCAGUUUUUACUCUUUGUUUUAUUGACAAGGGUCCUAUUGGGUGGACUGGGGGAGAGAGGGAUGCUCAUUUUGUGUCUUUGAGUUCAUUUGCUUUUAAACACUGUGUUUUUAAUAUGUAUUUUAUUUGCUUUUAUGUUAAGCCCCUUGUGUUUCAGGUGAAAAGGUGCUAUACAUAUAAAUAAAGUUUAAAUUUGAGUUUUAAAAAGUUACAUUUUUUAAAUUUUUAAAAUAGUGUGUUCAAUAAAUGUUUUUCCUAAGGUGUCUUUUGGAUUCUGGCCCCCUGUGUGAUUGAGUUGACACCAUGCCUGCCUGUAAAUGAAUAGACUGAAUAAUGCUGGGUGGAGUCGUUGUUCCGUCUCCAUAGCAACGGGGAAGCGGGAGCAAUCUUAACUAACAGAACAAAAGUGUCAAAGGAAAAAAACGCAAUAAAUAAGGAGUCCACUGACAGCAUGAACAACAGAACUCAGCGGUUGAACUCGUGAGUUUAUGUUUUUUCACUAAAGUGACUAAAGAAGAAGACGACGAUGUCGCUGUUUUUUUUUUUUUUUUUUUUUUUUUUUUUUUUUUUUGUUUUGUUCUUUUUUUUUAAAGAUAUUUCUGGAAAAUCUGACAUAUAGCAAACCGCUUUGGCUGCUCUCGUCUCCAUUGAUAGGUUGUCUCGGUCGUCGACCGACGCGGGGACAGCUUUCCUGAACAGCAGGACGAGUUCGAGGCUGACGUGGGAGGUUCGAGCCCGGCAGGACGGGAAGCGCCGCAGUGUGCUCGGCAGCAGCCGGCCGGGCAGACACCACGGCCCGGAGGAGACGCCGAGGAGAGCCGUUCGGGUGCUGGAUGCUGAGGGCAACGAUGUGACUCCCCUGCCUCUGCUCCCAGUGAAGCCACAGCCAUCUACUGAAACGGCAGGAUUGUGUCUGGACGACUUGUUCAAUUCAGAUCACUCUAGCUCCGACUCCAGCCUUGAUCUGGACUCCACCUCCUCUUUAAGCAGGUGGUGACGUUCACAUCCAACCAAUGCGUUAGUGAUGGUGUCAGAGGAGGAAUAAUGUCUGCUUGUGUUUUCAGCUCAUUCGCUCUGUCCUCAAGGGAUUCAUGGACAAAGGAAAGUAAAGACAGUCUCCUUACAGAGGACAUCCACCUACACCUACCUACUCCAUGUGAUUAAUACACCUUUUUGUCUGUUUAUUUUUUUAUUUGUUUGUUUUGAUGAAUAUUUUCUUGUAUUUUUUAUCCCGGGGGGUCUGCACCCUUUGAGGCAACAUUCACACUGUCCUCGGCAACGCGCUUUCAAGCCAUUGACUGUAUAAGAAAACUGGACUGAUCCCUCCCCCCUCGCGUUACCAUAAGACUUCUAUGGAGAAAAAAAAACAGCUAUUACUCACUCUAUUUGUCAGAAAAAUAAUUAUUUCGCUACAAACUUAUUAUUAACAUAUUGUAUCCUAAUUUUUUUCAUUACGUUUUUUCUUUAUCCCAAGUUAUUCAAGUUAUAAACUGGCCAAUCAGAUGCCUCAGUAAAGCAUGUGGUGCCCACCUCAAACGUUUGAUUGGCAGAUUCUCCUGAGCUCACUUUCAGUGGUAUGGAUGUGAACUUCUAAGUAGCUCCCUCCUGAUUGGUAACAUCAUUUGCCAUAGUAAUGUAGUAACCAUAAUAACUGACUAGAAACAAUCGCUGCUUACUGACCAUGUCUGGCACCAAAUAGGGGUUUCCGUAUCACAGAAUGAUUUAGUCUCAUUUGGUUGGAGCUGGAAAUAAGACAUUUUUGCUCUUUAAGGCAUUAUCUAUGAGUGACUGAACUCAGUCCAGUUCUCUUAUGCAGUCAAUGGUUCAAGCGACCACUUCUAAUUAUAAGUCUAUGUCAAUGCAUGUUUCAUGCUUCCGUAUUCGAAGCUCUCGGGUUCAUUCAUAGCUACAUACAUUUUUAGGACCGUUCAUGGGCUCUAUGUACAAAAUGGGACAAUUACCUGUCACAUUUAAAAUGAGUUAAUAAAUGACAAUUUACUAAAGCAAAAAACUAUAAUUUAUUAAUUUUUUUUGCAUUCUGCUUCAAAGCCAAUGGAGCCUAAGUCCAGAGGUGUUAUCACUUUUUUAUAAUUUUGUUUGAAGUGAUCCCACCAAAGAAAGGAUUGGCUAAAAAACAAGCAUCAGAAGAGAUAAAAGUGACUGACAUAAUUCUUAUGGAGUCAGAGACGGUUACGCUGCUGGACAUCCCAAGCACCUUAAUCCACGAGGACGCUGACGGUGCAGAACUCGCCAGGUGAGGUCACGGAGCAGCUCCACUCAGGAAUCACAGCAGUGUAACCAUGCAACCAUGUGUAGCCGUGCAACUUAGUUUGUGUAAAAUCUUCAUUGACAAAUGGAUUUUUUCUGUUUUUUAACAGGGUGAGGACCGACCACUAUGUUGAACUUUGCAAAAGCAGAGUGCGCAAUGCCAUUGAACAAUCCACACAGACUAUCGUUGGAGAGAACAAAAACAAACUGAUACAGACCAACGAGAAGAUUGAGCUUGAAAAGAGUAUGAACUCACUUAAUCUUUGACCCUCUAACAAAGGAGUUCUAGUGUUUAUGUUCUUUGAUUUAUUGGAAUUAUGUAAUUCUUAACACGAUCAACGCAAUUCC
rnacentral:lncRNA from 1 species